rnacentral:piRNA from 1 species
UCACUCCAAAGCAGUCAUGGACCGUC